rnacentral:rRNA from 1 species
AUGGGUCUAACUUCAUUCGCAAAAAAAAAAGAUGGGUCUAAAUUAAUGAUUCAGUGGUACCGUUCCUUAGCCUCGGCGCAGCUAUAUAUAAGAGAUAAAUCGCGCUCUCAAAGACUCAAGAAAGAAAGAACCCGGUCGAAAACUUUCCUCUUCAGUUCUGUAGCGGCGAUGAAGUCACGCGCCGGCACGCCGCCGGUCCUGUACUCGUACGCGUCGAUGCAGCAGCGGAGCAGCGGCGGCGUGAGGUGGCGCGAGUGCGGUGCCGUGCUGGGCGCCGCCGCCUUGGUGGUGCUCGUGGUCACCCACGCGCUCCUCCCAGGGGCCAGGCUGGGGGACCUGGGCGACGUGGUUAGCCCGGUACUCCGUCUCCGGAGAGCCCGGCGGGAGGAGGCGGCCGUGCCGUCGUCGGAGAAGAUGGUAGGGGAAAUCGGCGAUGAGGCCGAUGGCUUCGCGUGGAGCAACGCCAUGCUGCAGUGGCAGCGCACUGGGUACCAUUUCCAGCCGGAGAAGAACUACAUGAACGGUAUGGAAUCCAUUACUUCAAGAUUGAGUUUUCAGAUUCAAAUCCUCCUAUAUGUUCUUCCCCGGCAUCGACGACUAUGUUUGGAGGAAGAAACUGACUGGCAAUGGCUAGCUGCCUUUUUUGCUGUCUUUUUGUUUGUUUGCUUGCCGGAGAAAGAAACUGACUACCUUUUGCUUACGUGCUCCGGCGACAUGCAUGCAUGUAUGCAUGCAGAUCCAAACGCUCCAAUGUACUACCGUGGAUGGUACCACUUCUUCUACCAGUACAACCCGGAGGGCGUCACGUGGGGCAACAUCUCGUGGGGGCACGCCGUGUCGCGGGACAUGCUCCACUGGCACCACCUACCCCUUGCUAUGGUGCCCGACCGAUGGUACGACAUCAAAGGCGUUUUGACGGGCUCCGCCACCAUACUUCCUGAUGGCAAGGUCGUCCUGCUCUACACGGGGAACACCGACACCCUCGCCCAGGUACAAUGCCUUGCCGUACCUGCUGACCCUCAUGAUCCUCUCCUUCGUACUUGGACCAAGCACCCCGCCAACCCUGUGCUCCUUCCGCCGCCCGGGACCGGCAAAAAGGACUUCCGCGACCCCAUGACAGCAUGGUUCGAUAAGUCCGACAACACGUGGCGCACCAUGAUCGGGUCCAAGGACGACAACGGUCAUGCUGGUGUCGCCCUCAUGUACAAGACAAAAGACUUUGUCAAGUUCGAGCUCAUCCCGCGCCCGGUCCACCGUGUCGAGGGCACCGGCAUGUGGGAGUGCGUCGACUUCUACCCUGUGGGCAACCGCAACUCAUCACAGGAAGAGUUGUACGUGCUGAAGGCGAGCAUGGACGAUGAACGACAUGACUACUACGCAUUGGGAAGGUGCGACGCUGUGACCAACGCAUGGACGCCGCUGGACCCAGAAGCAGAUGUGGGAGUCGGACUAAGGUACGAUUGGGGAAAGUUCUUUGCGUCCACGACAUUCUAUGAUCCGACAAAGCGGCGACGCGUGAUGUGGGCGUAUGUUGGUGAGACAGACUCCAACCGGACCGACCUCGCCAAGGGAUGGGCAAACGUCCAGGCGAUUCCGAGGACGGUGGCGUUGGACGAGAAGACCCGGACGAACCUCCUCCAAUGGCCGGUGGAGGAGAUCGAGACCCUCCGUUACAACGCCACUGACCUCAGUGGCAUCACCAUCGGCAUUGGCUCCGUCUUCCCCCUGCAUCUCCGGCAAGCCGGUCAGCUCGACAUAGAGGCCUCGUUCCGCCUCAACACUUCUGACAUCGCAUCCCACAACGAGGUCGACAUCGGCUACAACUGCAGCACUAGCGGUGGUGCCACCAACCGGGGUGCACUCGGCCCCUUCGGCCUCCUCCUCACCAACGGCCACAGUGAACAAAUGGCAAUGUACUUCUACGUGUCUAGGAGCCUUGACGGGGGCCUCCGGACCCACUUCUGCCAUGACGAGUCGCAGUCAUCGCUGGCCAGGAACGUUGUCAAGCGUGUGGUGGGCAGCACUGUUCCGGUGCUCAACGGAGAGGCAUUAUCCACUAGGAUUCUAGUGGAUCAUUCCAUUGUGGAGAGCUUCGUGAUGGGUGGGAGAUUGACGGCGACGUCACGGGUGUACCCGACUGAGGCCAUCUAUGAGGCGGCUGGGGUGUACGUUUUCAACAAUGCUACCGGCUCCACUGUCAUCGUCGAUAAGCUCGUGGUGCAUGAGAUGCAUUCAACACCGAUGCAACUAGAUCUUUUUGCACGAGAUUAA